UACGUAGGUGGCGAGCGUUAUCCGGAAUGAUUGGGCGUAAAGGGUGCGUAGGCGGCCUGCUAAGUCUGGAGUGAAAGGUACCGGCUCAACCGGUACAGGCUCUGGAAACUGGCGGGCUAGAGAGCAGGAGAGGGCGGUGGAACUCCAUGUGUAGCGGUAAAAUGCGUAGAUAUAUGGAAGAACACCAGUGGCGAAGGCGGCCGCCUGGCCUGUUACUGACGCUGAGGCACGAAAGCGUGGGGAGCAAAUAG
rnacentral:rRNA from 1 species